ensembl:snRNA U1 U1 spliceosomal RNA
ACACUUAUGUAGCAGUGGAGGUGCUAUGACUGUGUAGGUGGUCUUUUUCAUGGCAAGGCUUUUUUGUGUCACUCUGGAUGCGCUGGCUUUUGCGAUUUUCCUGAAUGGGGGAAACUCGAUUGCGUAAUUUGUGGUAGUGGGCAUUUGUGCUGCGCUCCCUCCUG